rnacentral:ncRNA from 16 species
CUCGCCGAGGAGCGCUGCAACAGGACACGUCUUGGAUUCCUGCCAGGCUCGGCGAUUAUCGGGACCUUUAAACCAACGGCGCUCGGUUCAG